rnacentral:rRNA from 1 species
GCGGCGAACGGGUGAGGAACACGUGAAGAAUCUGCCCUCCACUUUGGGAUAACACCGGGAAACCGGUGCUAAUACCGGAUACUCCAUCUUGGCGGCAUCGCCGGGCUGGGAAAAAAUUUUGAUGAAAGAUGGUCUCGCGGCCUAUCAGCUAGUUGGUGAGGUAAAGGCUCACCAAGGCGACGACGGGUAGCCGGCCUGAGAGGGCGACCGGCCACACUGGGACUGAGACACGGCCCAGACUCCUACGGGAGGCAGCAGUAGGGAAUAUUGGGCAAUGGGCGAAAGCCUGACCCAGCGACGCCGCGUGAGGGAUGAAGGUCUUCGGAUUGUAAACCUCUUUCAGUAGGGAAGAAGCGAAAGUGACGGUACCUAAAGAAGAAGCACCGGCUAACUAUGUGCCAGCAGCCGCGGUAAUACAUAGGGUGCAAGCGUUGUCCGGAAUUAUUGGGCGUAAAGAGCUCGUAGGUCGUUUGUCGCGUCGAUUGUGAAAAUCUGAGGCUCAACCUCAGACCUGCAGUCGAUACGGGCAAACUAGAGUGUGGUAGGGGAGACUGGAAUUCCUGGUGUAGCGGUGGAAUGCGCAGAUAUCAGGAGGAACACCAAUGGCGAAGGCAGGUCUCUGGGCCAUAACUGACACUGAGGAGCGAAAGUGCGGGGAGCGAACAGGAUUAGAUACCCUGGUAGUCCGCACCGUAAACGGUGGGCACUAGUUGUGGGAACCUUCCACGGUUUCCGCGACGCAGCAAACGCAUUAAGUGCCCCGCCUGGGG